AACGAACGCUGGCGGCAGGCCUAACACAUGCAAGUCGAACGCCCCGCAAGGGGAGUGGCAGACGGGUGAGUAACGCGUGGGAACCUACCUAGAGGUGCGGAAUAGCCCAGGGAAACUUGGAGUAAUACCGCAUAAGCCCGCAAGGGGAAAGAUUUAUCGCCUUUAGAUGGGCCCGCGUCUGAUUAGCUAGUUGGUGAGGUAAUGGCUCACCAAGGCGACGAUCAGUAGCUGGUUUGAGAGAAUGACCAGCCACACUGGGACUGAGACACGGCCCAGACUCCUACGGGAGGCAGCAGUGGGGAAUCUUGGACAAUGGGGGCAACCCUGAUCCAGCCAUGCCGCGUGAGUGACGAAGGCCUUAGGGUUGUAAAGCUCUUUUGGCGGGGACGAUAAUGACGGUACCCGCAGAAUAAGUCCCGGCUAACUUCGUGCCAGCAGCCGCGGUAAUGUCUGUACU
rnacentral:rRNA from 1 species